rnacentral:rRNA from 1 species
AUUAAAAACCAAUGCCCUUCGGGGCUCUCUGGUGAUUCAUAAUAACUUCUCGAAUCGCACGGCCUUGUGCCGGCGAUGGUUCAUUCAAAUUUCUGCCCUAUCAACUUUCGACGGCUGGGUCUUGGCCAGCCGUGGUGACGACGGGUAACGGAGGGUUAGGGCUCGACCCCGGAGAAGGAGCCUGAGAAACGGCUACUACAUCCAAGGAAGGCAGCAGGCGCGCAAAUUACCCAAUCCCGACACGGGGAGGUAGUGACAAUAAAUACUGAUACAGGGCUCUUUCGGGUCUUGUAAUUGGAAUGAGUACAAUUUAAAUCCCUUAACGAGGAACAAUUGGAGGGCAAGUCUGGUGCCAGCAGCCGCGGUAAUUCCAGCUCCAAUAGCGUAUAUUAAAGUUGUUGAGGUUAAAAAGCUCGUAGUUGAACCUUGGGCCUAGCCGGCCGGUCCGCCUCACCGCGUGCACUGGCUCGGCUGGGUCUUUCCUUCUGGAGAACCGCAUGCCCUUCACUGGGUGUGCC